rnacentral:rRNA from 1 species
AGAGUUUGAUCCUGGCUCAGGAUGAACGCUAGCGGCAGGCCUAACACAUGCAAGUCGAGGGGCAUCGGGAUUGAAGCUUGCUUCAAUUGCCGGCGACCGGCGCACGGGUGCGUAACGCGUAUGUAACCUACCUAUAACAGGGGCAUAACACUGAGAAAUUGGUACUAAUUCCCCAUAAUAUUCGGAGAGGCAUCUCUCCGGGUUGAAAACUCCGGUGGUUAUAGAUGGACAUGCGUUGUAUUAGCUAGUUGGUGAGGUAACGGCUCACCAAGGCAACGAUACAUAGGGGGACUGAGAGGUUAACCCCCCACACUGGUACUGAGACACGGACCAGACUCCUACGGGAGGCAGCAGUGAGGAAUAUUGGUCAAUGGACGCAAGUCUGAACCAGCCAUGCCGCGUGCAGGAUGACGGCUCUAUGAGUUGUAAACUGCUUUUGUACGAGGGUAAACGCAGAUACGUGUAUCUGUCUGAAAGUAUCGUACGAAUAAGGAUCGGCUAACUCCGUGCCAGCAGCCGCGGUAAUACGGAGGAUUCAAGCGUUAUCCGGAUUUAUUGGGUUUAAAGGGUGCGUAGGCGGUUUGAUAAGUUAGAGGUGAAAUUUCGGGGCUCAACCCUGAACGUGCCUCUAAUACUGUUGAGCUAGAGAGUAGUUGCGGUAGGCGGAAUGUAUGGUGUAGCGGUGAAAUGCUUAGAGAUCAUACAGAACACCGAUUGCGAAGGCAGCUUACCAAACUAUAUCUGACGUUGAGGCACGAAAGCGUGGGGAGCAAACAGGAUUAGAUACCCUGGUAGUCCACGCAGUAAACGAUGAUAACUCGUUGUCGGCGAUACACAGUCGGUGACUAAGCGAAAGCGAUAAGUUAUCCACCUGGGGAGUACGUUCGCAAGAAUGAAACUCAAAGGAAUUGACGGGGGCCCGCACAAGCGGAGGAACAUGUGGUUUAAUUCGAUGAUACGCGAGGAACCUUACCCGGGCUUAAAUUGCAUUUGAAUAAAUUGGAAACAGUAUAGCCGUAAGGCAAAUGUGAAGGUGCUGCAUGGUUGUCGUCAGCUCGUGCCGUGAGGUGUCGGCUUAAGUGCCAUAACGAGCGCAACCCUUAUCUUUAGUUACUAACAGGUCAUGCUGAGGACUCUAGAGAGACUGCCGUCGUAAGAUGUGAGGAAGGUGGGGAUGACGUCAAAUCAGCACGGCCCUUACGUCCGGGGCUACACACGUGUUACAAUGGGGGGUACAGAAGGCAGCUACCUGGCGACAGGAUGCUAAUCCCAAAAGCCUCUCUCAGUUCGGAUCGAAGUCUGCAACCCGACUUCGUGAAGCUGGAUUCGCUAGUAAUCGCGCAUCAGCCA